UACGUAGGGCGCAAGCGUUAUCCGGAAUUAUUGGGCGUAAAGAGCUCGUAGGCGGUUUGUCGCGUCUGCCGUGAAAGUCUGGGGCUCAACUCCGGAUCUGCGGUGGGUACGGGCAGACUAGAGUGAUGUAGGGGGGACUGGAAUUCUUGGUGUAGCAGUGAAAUGCGUAGAUAUCAAGAGGAACACCAGUGGCGAAGGCGAGUCCCUGGACAACACCUGACACUGAGGCACGAAAGCUAGGGGAGCAAACGGG
rnacentral:rRNA from 1 species